ensembl:lncRNA
AUCACCUGAUGAUCACCGUCACGUUAGCGUCGUCAUUGACAUUUAGCUCAAAGCACCUCCGGCCCUGAACAGCCUCACAUUCAUUAGCAUUUCUGUGCACUCAUACGUUUUUUGAAUUUCCAUCGUGUAAAAAGAAAGACAUGACACAAUGUUUUCUUAAAAUAAGAUUUUUAAUAUUACUUAUUAUCAUAAAGAUAUAUUUACACACUUUACAGAAAUAGAAAAUAAAAACACAAAGCUACGCAUGAAAGGAAAAAAUAAAAUAAGUACUCCAAGAGCUAAAGCUUAUCUUUUAUAAAUUAGAAACCAAAAGUUCAAAUAUGUACACAGUAUUUCAACCAUUUCUGAUACACUUGUUUUAUUUAUUUAUUUAUGUCAUUUAUUUUUGCCCAGUUCAACAUCAAAACAGAGACAGGGACUGUACAUUUGGCCUGGUGAGUAAUAUGAGCACACACCAUAAACAGAAUAUAAGUUUUCAAGAGUAAUACAUUUUUCCUUUUAAAUGGUAUCUGCUUGAGGUCUAGUAACACUGUUGCGAUGGUGUGUAAGCCUGCGGACGGCACCUGUGCUCAGAUCGUUGUGAACGUAGCUGAUCUCGGACACAGCGGUUACGUAGAUGGAGAAUGUGUCAUAAUCAAAGGCAGGAGGGGCGUGUGCUAUUUUGGGUGUAGGAAGUCUCACUUUGAGCCUCCAAGAUAAUGACAGAUCUUAGUCAUUUCCCACGGGAGAUAAAAUCUAGUUAUCCUCUGGAUUUGCCAAGCCGGUGGAAAUGUGUGAAUCCAUUGGAUUGAAUAUCAGCCACUUGAUCUUGCAGACGCCCACUCCGAAGGCCAACAUGAUACAGUUUGAUGGGCUUAGCGAUUCGCAAAGUAAAAUCACGGAAUGUGUGUCUCGCCAAAUCUGUUUCCAUUUCGACAAUGAGUGGGUUUUUUUUUUUGUCAUUUUAAAUAAAUUUGAUCUGGUAGAGUUUAAAAUGACAUGUCGGAUUAAAAAAAUAAAAAAUAAAAACACCUUAAAACCUUGUGUUUCUCAUUUUGUGCCGGUCUUGUUUGUGUAGCUAUCGGGAGACGACGGCGAUAACCUGCUGCUGGCUUCUUCUCAUCUCCAGCAGCAACACAAAUCUGUCGCUCUGCUCAUCCCCUCUUCUUACACACUCGCAACCAAAUGCAUUUGAACAAAAAGGAACUGAACACAAAGGGGGCAAGUUCUCAGAACAAACAUUUCUCAACCAGGAAAACAUGCUAACAAGUGCAUAGGAACGUUACUCAGGCCUUGUGAUGUUUCACAGAGAAGAGGAACUGGGGGGGAAACAUUGAGAGGAUAGGAAUCGUUUCUCUUGUGUAAGCCUUGCUGGAAAGGCCCAUUAACCUGAUGUGCAGGGGAGGGCUGUGGGCUGAGAUGCACAAGAAAAGAAUGCCUGAAAGCUUUCACGUGUCCACGACAUAUUGCGCUGCAGACUACUUUUCUAUUUUGUUACAUCCACAAAAGACACAGCUUUUCACGCUGUAUUCAGAAAAGAAAGCUUUGGACAACCAGCUAGACAAGAAUCUAGACGAAAGAAAUGGUCACAAUACACUGGAAAACCCAUUCCAUAACAAGACACUCUCGUUUUCAGGGUGUAUUUUUUUUUUUUUUCCAGCAGCGUAACGGAAUUGCAAAAGUGCAACCUUGCAAACCCACACAGAGAAUUCUCGGAGCGAAGCCACGUCUAUUUGUUGGGACUAGUUGACAGCAGAGGCUUUGGAUCAGUGGGGUUUUUUGGCUUUUGAUUUUUUUUUUGGGGGGGGGGGAUUUGACUAAUUCCCAGACCGAGAUAAAAAAAAAAAAAAAAGUCCGUUACAUAAACACCGGUUUUCUCUGGUCUCUGAAAGGGCAGCGUGGCUGGUGCAGAUGGGGCGGAUACAUUCAUGAAGAACGGUGUGGAUACAGACGUUGCUCGGCUCCAUAACAAUAUCUUUUGAGAUGGGGGGAUAAUAUUGAUUUGAACCCCCUCGUCGCGCCCUGGUCUACUUCCAGCAUCCAAACGGCUUUGAACUUUCAUCCCCAGCUCAUAUCUCCUCCUACUGUCCUCCCCAAUAAUACAUGAGACGAGAGUGAGAGUCUCACUUCCGAGGAGCAUUAAUGAAAAUCUACAUCUCUGUCUGAGAAGGUAUGAAAAAAAAAAAUGGUGGAACUAAAAUUAUUACUCUCCACAGUGCCCAAGGAUUUAAUACAUUUUUAAUCAAGGUGAUCUUGGCUGGGACGGAUUACCACUGUGACUUCAGACGCCCUCUUAAUAAAAGCUUCUUGUGCCGGGACUCUUGCUUUUGAUUAUAACAUUUGCAUGAGACAUGGCGAGAGGGAAAAGGUGUCGGGAAACUAGGUUAACCUACCAGUUGCUUAUGUGGUGAAAUACGCGCGCUCGAUGAUGGAAUAUAAAAUCCAAACGAAAAAAGCAACUACGAGGAAGUCGCUCUGCACACCUAAAACACAAGGAAACGAUUGCAAGGUGGCUGCUCUACAGGUUACAGUGGUAAUAUGUUACAUGGUUACACACGGAAUCAGCGGGGGUCUGAUGGCUGAAGGAAAGGGGGUGGGGGUUCAGUCUAAGCCAAUUUAACAAUGAGCUCAGACGAAGUGGCCCCGGCCAGCCUUGGGGAGAUCCAUAUGAGAAAGAUUAACUCCGGGGAUUUAAUGAGCGUAAUGAUCAAAGCCACGACCACCUGUGCGGUGGUAUCGGGCGGACUAGAAAGGCAACUGUACCCAACAUAAUGCAGGAAAGCGUCGUGACUAGAUUCUGGAUACAUGGCUAUAUAGGUCAAAACAUACAGGGAGAGUAAGGAAAUAUACGAAAAUAUGCUCAUAUAAGAUUUAAAUGUAUUGUAUGUUUGUGUUUUGUUAAAUAAAUGCGCAAAAUAGACUGCUCUAGUACAAGCCUCUAUCACAGCACCCUGAGAAAAAGAAAUAAAUCUACUUAAACACAGAAAUAAACAUAAACAGUAAUAUAUUCCAGUAUGAUGGAAAGGCAUAGCAUUUCGUUAGUGAAAGAUUUCGGUCAAAGGGUCAAACCAGCCUUAUGCUGAAUAUUAAAAACAGCCAGAGCACUAGUGGAAGGCUGAUUAAGGUUGGCAUAUUAGCUGAGCUGAUAUUUGCUUUUUCAGUGUUUUUUUUUUUGUUGGUCUAAUUUAACUGUCAUCCUCGCCGACCUUGUCUCGCAGGGGAUUUUCUAUUUGCAAAAAAAUGCAUAAUGUGACAGUGUAUCAAGACUUUUAACAGAGGUAAUGUGUUUCUCCCUAACCGUCCAUUCCUUCGUUCCUGGCAGCAUUGUGGAGAAGGUUAUUAUUUGGCACUUCAUUAAAAGGCAGCCUGUCGGUGGAGCAGACCGCCUCUGCCAGUUAACAGUCGUGUAGAGCAGCUGCGCAGGGCAGCAUUGCGGUGAGAAGACUUGGGGAUUUGGGGACGGGAUUGGGAUUGGGAUUUGGGGUCGAAGGGCCUCACCCAAGGUGGGACAUGUUACAUUAACCUUGAGCACGUCUGUCAAACCCCCAAAGGUGUUAAUGAGUUCAGGACCACCAAAAUAGCUUUGGAUUAAAGAAUCUCCUAAAUGAAGGAAUGAUUCUGUCACUUGGAUAUAACGUGCUCUCUCUCUUCAUUCCAACCUGACUUUGCAUGUGGACGUACUGUCGUUUAUUCAAAGCACCAUUGCUGACUAUUAAGCGAUGGAUUUAAUGCCAUUAAAGUACUUGCGUUUCCAUUUUUAAACACUUUGUUAAUCCUCUUUUUGCAGCAGACAUCCAGAAUAUCAUAAUCUAACUUGGUAUUGGUUAUAUAGUCAACUAUUAAAACUGACACGGCUCUUAGGCGUAAUCGCCGCCAUUUUUGCGCAGUAAAGCCGUUUGGUUGCUACGCAGCGGUGAAAUCGGCGGGAAAGCUGCAGUAACCUUGGACUGGAGGGAUGGGAAUACCACACCACGCUCACCGCGGAGAAGCCACAGAUGCUUUAAGACUUCCGAUUGUUUUUGACCGGGCUCCCCCUCCACCACAUGUCAUGCAAAGUGUGUGAGACACUCAGGGAAAUCGCUGUGAUUGGGCUCUAUUUAAGCAAAUGAUAGAAAAAUUGAAGAAAAAAAAAAGAGGAAAAAAAAAGAAGGUAAAACACUUGGGAGAAGACAGAGAUAGAUACGGAGUGAGAGUAAGAGAAAGAGAGAGACGGAGAAAUAGAGUCUGAUAGCUCGGCCUCCAUAUUCCCACCCCCCCACCCCCUUUCCCUGCCCCCGAUUCCUCCUAGAGCUGAGGGUGGGCGGCUUGUCCUGAUUUUUUUUUUAUGGACAGAGUUGCUUGAAGAACCAGCAGGUGCUAUGGACGUCACUCUUCAGGCUGGGCAAACGUAGGCCCGUCGUUGCAGGGCCCCCCAAGGCAAAGGAAGAGCUUAGAAAUCAGAACCUUUGGGAGGGCGCUCAAAGCAGUGCC